AUUGAACGCUGGCGGCAGGCCUAACACAUGCAAGUCGAGCGGAGCGGCGGUCCGGUGAUUAAUGCCUAGGAAUCUGCCUGGUAGUGGUGGAUAACGUCCGGCAACGGUCGCUAUUACCGCAUCCUAUCUGAUGCGCCUAGUUCGGAUUAGCUAGGUGGUGGGGUAAAGGCCUACCAAGGCGACGAUCCGUAACUGGUCUUAGAGGAUGAUCAGUCAGACGGGAACUGAGACACGGUCCAUACUCCGACGGGAGGCAGCAGUGGGGAAUAUUGGACAAUGGGCGCAAUCCUGAUCCAGCCAUGCCGCGUGUGUGAAGAAGGUCUUCGGAUUUUAAAGCACUUUAAGUUGGGAGGCGUUACCAAGAGAAUAAGCACCGGCUAACUUCGUGCCAGCAGCCGCGGUAAUAC
rnacentral:rRNA from 1 species